UCACAAAAAUAAUGUGAUAAAGCAAAUUAUUAUUAAUACGAUCAAUUCGUGUUCGACACUUCACUCGUAAGUCAGAUGUUAUAGUAGUGAUGUGUGCGAGGUAGAACUAUUAAUUUUUGGUGCCGGAGAUCUUGACUGAAACAAGGUAAGUUUAUUUACUACUCGUAUAAUCUCGAAAUGUCUCACUUAAAUUUCGAAAAAAAUUAAUUACAACUGGAAUAACUUUUAUUAUGUUAUGUAACUGCAUAUUAUCAGCGUGAUGUUACUUGUUAGAGCGCGUUAUAUUAAAAUUUGUAGCUAGAUUGUGUGGUAAUAUUUUGUGCGUGCGACUAAUUAAUUUUAUCCCCAGUUUUAAACUUAUUAAUAAUUAAUUAUACUAUUUUCUAUUCGGACUUAGGGUUAUGACCAGCAUAUUUCAAAAAUAAAUAUAUACCUUCCAGGAGCAACUAAGGGAACACUUAAAAAAGAAGCAGAUGAAAGAGGGAAAAAAGGACAGACUGAUAUAACCAACUGGCUUAAGACAAAAGAUUUGCAGCAAUAAAACAGUUCCCCAAGGGUCAAUUCUAGGGCCUUUGCUCUUCGUAGCUAACUAACUAGAUGGCUCAGAAAAGUGAUGCUAAGUUUAGAGUUGCACUAUGGUCCGAUAAAAAGUCACAAAGUUACAGGCUGAUAUUACUAGUUCUCAUUUUUAUCGUUUUCAGAUCGUGAAACGAACAAAUCUGGAACUUGGUUCAUUUGCGUGCAGCGACAUCGUAGUUCGGCGGAGAAUACCGCAGCAGCUCAUUUGUGUGUGGAUUCAGCAGGCGUAUUGAUAUUCACAUACAGAUAUAGUGAAACGCACAAAUCUGCAACUACGUUCAUUUGCGUUCAGCGACCACGCAGUUUGUCGGGAAAUAACGCAGCAACUAAGAAGCCUGUGAAUUCAGACGACGCAUUGUUAUUCACUGUGAGACUUGUGGUUUGUUGGUUGUUUGAAGACGUCUUAUCAUACAAAUGUUGAUCGUUUAAAAACUCUAUUAACUUGGAGUUAUUCAAACAUAAUAUAACUCGAACGUCACAUUCCUUUCAAAUUUACAUUUAAACAGUAAAAUACAAUUAGUAUUUAGUGUCACUGGUCAAAACAUCCUAAUAAGCGAAAUUUCAUAACACGGCAGAAUUACAGACCGUUCCCAAAGUGUACGAAAGAGUGGUUCAUUUACUUAAAGUGGUAUGUUUCCAGUCUUAAUAAAAAUGAAUAAUAGGGUCAGAUAUUGAAUAGUUUAAAGUUGCACUAUUAUCCGAUUAAUAUUCAAAAAGUUACAGACUGAUAAUUUGCGUUAUCAUAUUUCGUGAUUACAGAUUGUCAAAUACACAUUUCUGCAACUACGUUUAUUUGCGUGCAGCGACCACGUAGAUUGUCGGGGAAUAUCGCAGUAAUUAAGAAGUGUGUGAAUUCAGACGACGCAUUGUUAUUCACUGAAAAACUUGUGGUUCGAUUGUUGUUUGAAGACCUCUUAUCAUACAAAUAUUGAUUAUUUGUAACACUAUUAAUUUGGAGUCAUUCAAACAUGAUAUCGUGAAACGCACAAAUGUGAUACAACAUUCAUUAGCGGGCACCGACUACGUAGUCUGUCGGGGAUUAUCGCAGCAACUAAGAAGUGUGUGAAUUCAAACGACGCAAUGUUAUUCACUGAGAGACAUGUGGUUUGAUGAUUGUUUGAAGAAGUCUUAUCACACAAAUGUUGUGUAUUUGAAACACUAUUUCCAUCGAGAUAUUCAAAUAUAAUGUACCUCGACCGUUAUAUCCCUUUCAAAAUUACGUAUUAACGGUUUGAUACAAUCAGUAUUUAGUGUCAUUGGGACAAAGAACUUAAUAAGCGAAAUUUGAGUCCCCGGCUACAUUACAGACCGUUCCUAAUGUGUAAGAAAGAGUGGUUCAUAAACUUAAAGUGAAAUGUUUCCAGUCUUAAUAAAAAUGUGCAUUACGGUCAGAUAUCGAAUAGUUUAAAGUUGCACCAAUGCCCGAAUGAUAUUCUAAAAGUUACAAGCUGAUAUAUUGUGUAAUAUUUAGCAUUUUCAAAUCGUGAAACGCACAAAUCUGCAACAACGUUCAUUAGCAUGCAGCGAACACGUAGAUUGUCGAGGAAUAUCGCAGCUUCUAAGAAAUGUGUGAUUUCAGACGUCGCAUUGUUAUUUGCUUAAUGUACAAUUUGGCUGCACGCGACAGAGACAAGCGACCGAG